rnacentral:rRNA from 1 species
UACGUAGGAUGCUAGCGUUGUUCGGAAUCACUGGGCGUAAAGCGUAUGUAGGCGGGCUUUUAAGUCAGGUGUGAAAUCCCAUGGCUCAACCAUGGAAUUGCAUUUGAAACUGGAAGUCUUGAGUGUGGGAGAGAUUGGUAGAAUACCUGGUGUAGUGGUGAAAUACGUAGAUAUCAGGUGGAAUACCGGUGGCGAAGGCGGCCAAUUGGCCCAACACUGACGCUGAGAUACGAAAGCGUGGGGAUCAAACAGG